rnacentral:rRNA from 1 species
AUUGAACGCUGGCGGCAGGCCUAACACAUGCAAGUCGAACGAGUGGCGGACGGGUGAGUAAUGUCUGGGAAACUGCCUGAUGGAGGGGGAUAACUACUGGAAACGGUAGCUAAUACCGCAUACCAUCGGAUGUACCCAGAUGGGAUUAGCUUGUAGGUGGGGUAAAGGCUCACCUAGGCGACGAUCCCUAGCUGGUCUGAGAGGAUGACCAGCCACACUGGGACUGAGACACGGCCCAGACUCCUACGUGAGGCAGCAGUGGGGAAUAUUGCACAAUGGGCGCAAGCCUGAUGCAGCCAUGCCGCGUGUAUGAAGAAGGCCUUCGGGUUGUAAAGUACUUUCAGUGGGGAGGCGUUACCCACAGAAGAAGCACCGGCUAACUACGUGCCAGCAGCCGCGGUAAUAC